AGUGAACGCUGGCGGCAGGCCUAACACAUGCAAGUCGAGCGGCAGCGCGGGGCAACCUGGCGGCGAGCGGCGGACGGGUGAGGAAUUCGUCGGAAUCUGCCUUUUUGUGGGGGAUAACGUAGGGAAACUUACGCUAAUACCGCACACGACCUACGGGUGAAAGUGGGGGACCGCAAGGCCUCACGCAGAAAGAUGAGCCGACGACCGAUUAGCUAGUUGGUAGGGUAAAGGCCUACCAAGGCGACGAUCGGUAGCUGGUCUGAGAGGAUGAUCAGCCACACUGGGACUGAGACACGGCCCAGACUCCUACGGGAGGCAGCAGUGGGGAAUAUUGGACAAUGGGCGCAAGCCUGAUCCAGCCAUGCCGCGUGUGUGAAGAAGGCCUUCGGGUUGUAAAGCACUUUUGUCCGGAAAGAAAUCCUUCAACUUAAUACGUUGGGGGGAUGACGGUACCGGAAGAAUAAGCACCGGCUAACUUCGUGCCAGCCGCCGCGGUAAAAC
rnacentral:rRNA from 1 species